UAAAAAAACCUGUUUUAUUUAUUUUCAUUAUAAUUUAUCACUGCAUAAGCUAUAGUGGGUGACUUAUUUUGUACUUUCGUUUUCAGUUCUUAACUCAAAGCCUACAAGAUUGAAAUAUAUUAUCAAAGACAUGGAAAAUAUUAAGUUAAUUGGAUGGUGAAUUGCUUAUCAAAAAGUGUUAUAAAUGAAGUCUAAAUACAUACCUGAAUAGUAAACGUCUAAAGCUAAAAUAAACAUAUUGAAAUGCUAUGCUUUGGAAGAAAGAAAAGGAAACAAUCUGGACUACUAAAUAACGAGGCAACUGCUGUAACUGAUUAUCCAGAUACAACUAAUGCAGUUGAUAGGAAUAAAGGACGACCUGCUUCAGCCUCACAAGUAUGCCCAGUAGUGCAAGAAAACGACCAAAGCAAUCGGCAACAUAACCCUCAUGAACAAUGUAAAAACAGGCAGAAAGCAAGUGAUGACAUGGUUGAUGAGUUAAGUGCUAAAAUAAAACGUCUCAAAAAAGAAAGAAAAGGAAAGAAGAAAUGGCAAAAAUGAAAGAUGAGCAUCUCAGAACUAUGGAAGAGCAAAA